UUUAACCGUGCGGAGACGAAGAGGAGGCGAAAAUUUGAUAUCAAGUUCAAAGAGAACCUGCUGAUUAUGCUGCAGAACACUCUGGGGAGGAGUAGCAUGGGUUGUAUGAACUAGUCACUAGUCGACUUAACCGCUCUAUAGAGCUCCAGACCCCACGUGACUCUCAGUUAGUAGACGCCAUAUUGGCAGGAAAAAAAGGUAAACAAACAUGGAUGUAACCAUGAACGUGAACGGGAUCCGCUUGGAUUUUACUUCGUCGGAGUUUACUUCACACUUUAAAACCGAAGAAAUCGUUUUAUAUAGUCAGAAAUUAAAUAGAGUAAACAUCUCCGACCACCGUGCCCCUGGGAUACUUUUUAAAAACGCUAGAAGCUGUCAGAGCGGACUUCUUACCGGACCUGGCCGGGGAACCCCUUGGGAUUCCCCCGGCCGGAGGAGCUGGGGGAGAGGUCUGGGACUCUCCACGCUACUGCCCGCUCCGACGCCAGAAGCUGUCGGAGCGGACUUCUUACUGGACCUGGCCGGGGAACCCCUUGGGAUUUACCCGGAGUAGCUGGCUCCGGCGGCUGGGGAGAGGGAAGUCAGGGCCUCUCGACGCUACUGGCCCUGCAACCCGACUCCGGAUAAGCGGAUGAAAAUGGAUGGAUGGAUGGACAAAUAACAGAUUUACAUGUAAGUAGUUUAAAUAGAGCGCUGUGAAUGUAUAAACUGAACGCCAAGAGAAAUCACUAGUUUGAUUUUUUUUUCCGUGAAUAAAAUAAAUAUGUCAGGCAGGAGCGUCAGGAUCUGUCUGAGAUCUGUCUCGGUGAGACAGAUAAUAGCAAUCCAAAGUGCUUUUUAUGUGUGAUAUGACAAUUGAUCAACCAUUGCUUAAAAAUUAAAUACAGCUUAGCCGGUUAAUUGCUGUGUUCAUAAAACACGUAAACGGCAGCACGCAGAAAUCACGAGGCAACGUUUUACGUGAUGUUUACUUGUUGCUAUGAGUAAUAAGACAGAAAAAGCCACGCCAAAAUAAGUUUAGGAAGCCCACUAAGAAUCGUAAUAAAAGCAUUUAAAAUAAAUACCAUACACAGUUGAGGAAACGUUGGUUUAAGUACCUGAUAUGAAGUGGUCGCUGCAUAAGCGAAAACUUUUACUCUCGGGAUCCCACAGUUUCAUUUUCGCCCGGUCACUAGCGCGUUUUAUUACAAUGAUCCAACGUUUGCGGCGCUCCGGAUCUUGGGGAAUCCUGUAGAUUGCUCAUUCCUUAUGUCGUCCGUGUCUGUUCUGCAUCCUGGGGCACAACAGGAAUCUACCAUAUUUCCCGUUUGAUUGAGUUUUCUGACAAUAACAAAUAGCCCAGCUGCUGGCUUCUGCCUGCCUAAUGGCACCGUUUCAAUUUGAAUUGUUGCAUGCCGGGAAACGUGACGUCAACUCCCGGAGCUCUAUAGUGACUUUUUAUGCCUGUCAUUGACUAGUCGCUGUCAUGUGAUAAUGACCGGCAAGAUGCAGUCCUCGGAAAAGACAGCAGCCUGCUGUCAGCAGGUGACAAACUCCUAUGCGUUGGGAGGCAACGCACUGUGCCAGAACGUCGGCACUGACACCCGCCGUAAAACGGACAUUUAACCAAAUUGUGACUUUUACCCUGUUGCAAUUUAACCUUCCCCUCACACCCAUCCUAAUCUUAACCAGCUUGCGCAUGCAAAGCUCUGAUUGUUGACACGCUCCAGACAUCUGCGUCCUGAGCACGGCCACAGUAACAUUAUCAAAUCAGGUGUCGCCACCUCAAAAACCAAUUAAACACGCGAUCAUUCAUGUCGGCUCAUUUCCUUUUAUGUUUUCUGUCUGUUAUUCUUUUAUUUGUGCCUGAUGCAUUUCGCUGCUGUGGAUCGGGGUGCAUCACCUGUUUUGUCCUCAGUGACGUAUCUAACUGAUGUGGCCGGCAAGCAGCGCGCACUCCUCUGUUUUUGCAGUCGGUAGAUCUUUUAGAACUGCAGUUCAAAGGUAACUCAUAAGGUGAAUGUAUAUUAAAGGCAAGGUACGUAAGUUUUAAAUGUGAAAUAACUUUAAAAAUGUUUAAUUUUGACCAUCUGACCCAAUUUUAUUAAAAAAAGUAAACCAUCUUUAAUAUUUCAAUUUUCUCCUAGGUCCCUCCCCUGCCCUGUAGAGCUCAGCCAAUAUUUCUGCAAGCCUAACGCGUUGAACAAUAGCGCUGCGUUAUCACCAGGGGUAGCUGUCACGCGCCUCACUCGGCUUUAAGAGAGAUGACUGCAGAAACAAUGAAGUAACAAACCCCCAAAUUACAAAUUCCUCGACUGCCUUCCACGUCUCAAAAAACAUUUAAAAAGUUUAAAAGAUCUUUUUCAAAAGUGGCUGUAAGACGUUUAAGACAGUCAAGUCGAAUUUACAUUGGAGAUUGGUUACACGAUGGAGAGAUAAAACGGAUGAAGAGUUGGCAAAGUAUCUUUUGGACAGGUACGUUAUUUAUUGUUUUUCGGAUAAAUUGACUUAAAAUCUUUCUUUCACUGAAAGAAGUAAUAGAGCAAACAAGCUUUGUAUGCUUGGUGUCCUAUUGGCUAAUGUAGCAUUAGCUUGAAUAAUAAGUCGACAUGAAUCAAUGUUAGUCGUUGAACUAUUUAUGCUAUAUUUGGAAGAAGUUUGAAUAACGAAAGGGGAUUUUAGUUUUAUUUGUAUGGGAGCUAAUGAUUAGUGUGGCGUUUAACUAUAGGCCAUAUCAGUGUAUUGUUUUAAGCUCUUGUAUAUAACUUCAGCGUUAGCGGAGUUCAGUUAGCAUCUUGAACAAUGUAUUAGAUGUUUACACUUUCCUGAGCUGCGUGUUUGAUUAAAAUGAGUAAUCAGCAGCUCAUGUAGUAGUUGUUGAAGUCUGAGGAGAUGAUUCAGCAGUUAGAAUUAGGUGUGAUUGAUCAGGAACGUAUCCAAAACCUUACGUUUCCAUUAGCACUGAAAGACAUAUUGUGCUAACCUGGUUGGGCGACGUGUACAGAUUACCGUCUGGUUUUGUGGUUUUACCUACGUCAAUACUCCAUAUUAAAAUAAAAGGAAUGAUAAUCAGCUCGUGCAGAAAUCUGUGAAGGCUGGAGAGAAACAUUAGCUGUUGGAAAAAGACGUAUCUGACCACAAACCUAUCCUAAACACGGUCACACUGGCUGUCAGUUAGCCUGAUAUCACACUAAUUAGCCUGAUACAGUCAUAGCAAUAAUCGAGUGCCAAAUUCAAUAUUUUAUUAGGUUUUCCUGUUUUGAAAAAGCAAAUCAUAUCAAAAUGAGUGAUUAGCAGCUCAUGUUGAACUCAGCUGGCUGAGGAGAUACUUUAUCAAUUACAAUCAGAUUUGUCUUAGCAGAAAAUAUAUAAUGUGAUUUGCAUGCUCUUCAUGCUACAGUCAAUUAUUUAGUAGUUUCUCUGACCUUCAUUUCAUUAUAUCUUACAAUAGAUGUGUAAACUAAGAGAUGGCUAUAUAACAUAAUAUUGUGUGUUUCUUUUACUUGUUUAGUCUGUGAUCACUACUUUUUAUUUUAAUAUGGGCUUUGUUUUUACAGUAAUCAGUCCAAAUAUGAAGCAUCAGCACCAACACCAUUGAAACGCCAACUGUUUAUUUCUCCAACACCAGUGCCAGCUCUGUCUAGCAUUCAUGGAGAAUCAUCUGAAAGAUACCAUAAAAUAUUCAACAAAAAAUCUAGAUGCUGGAGGCUGUAUUCUGAGAAGGUGGCAAAAGACUACUCCUACAUCCCAGAGAUCCAAACCAUGAUCGUCAACCAACGUUUGACAAGCAAGAAAGGUCUUCCUCGACGCUACAAGCUAA